ensembl:snRNA U6 U6 spliceosomal RNA
GUACUUACUUCAGCAGCACAUAUACUAAAAUUGGAACGAUACAGAGAAGAUUAGCAUGGCCAUUGCACAAGGAUGACAAAUAGAAGAGAUGGCCUGUGGAUAUGUUA